rnacentral:lncRNA from 1 species
GCCGCACGUGGGGUGACAAGGCUGCAGUCAGAGAGCCCUGAAUAGAAAGCGGCCAGAAUGUAUGCAUCUGGACCAGCAGCCACCUGCCAGAAGGCCCAGCCCGGCAUCUGGACAGCCUGAGAGACGGCCUAGGCCUCCCAGGAGCCCACACAGUGGAGCAAAGCUGGAGAGACAAGUGAAAGCACGGCCCCAUGGCACGCUUGCAGGGCCCAGGAAUCCAUCUGCCCGUCCGGAGCUCAGCAUCCCCGCCAGCGCCCUGCCCGGGAAACGCACCCAGGGGACAGCACCCGUGGGCUCAGGAGCAGGAGGCCUCUGCUACCUGGCUGUGACAGAGGACACCGAGCAGUGCCAGGAGGGAGCCCCACGGCCUCGCCAACAGAACGCUUGUCAUCAAUCAUGCCCCUCUGUAAGCAUUCAACGCCACCCUGGAAGCCACUGGACAAGCCACCAUUCCCACUUCCAGGGAGGAAACUGAGGCACAAGGAGGCAGUCACCGGCCCCGACCCACACAGGCUGGUGGGCUUACAUGGGUCAGUGCUGUGCUACAUCCCACGACUGCCCGCCCCCCACCCAGGGGCCACCUCCGUGGAGCGGCCAGAGGGUUCGGGUUCCAGUUCCUAAUAGACUUGGGCCACUUUUGUUCCCGCAGAUGUCCUGCCCUCAAGUAUCAACGUUGAAGUCCAUGAAGAGCCACUCUUCUUCGGUCAUAUUUCCCUUUUUGCCCUGGCCACUAAGAAGCUCUGCACUGCACUCGGGGCCAACCAUAUGGCCAUUCUGCCUGCCUCCCCACUUGAGCCUGCCGCCAGGGUUGGCUUGUCUUUCCAUUUCCCAUCUGUCUUCCUUGAUAUGUGGGAGUCCUGGCGAAGCCCCUCACACCUUGGCGUCCACCUUCAUCUGCCCUAGCCCGCACCGGCCUGCUCUGAGCCUGAGCCCAGCUGGCCCUUUAAGAAGCUGGGGGCUGCUGCUGGCACAGUGCACAGUUGGCCCAGCGCGCAGACGGGCACGUUCCUGAUCUUUCUGGAAGGCUGAGUUGGAGAGGAGACAAAAUGUUCUUGCACAGCUUGGUAAACAAGCCUAAAGUGUUUUGAAAGCCUCUGCCGAUAUAAAGGACUGUGAAAUAA